rnacentral:snRNA from 1 species
UUACUGGUUUCAGCAGCACAUAGACUAAAUACAAGAUUAGCAUUGCCCUGUGCAAGGAUGACAUGCAAAUUCGUGAAUCAUUCUGGUUUUCU